CCCCCCCUCCACCUUCAGCAGAGACAAGAAUGGAAUCGAUGCUUGAGCAGAUUCUGGAGAGCCAAACAAAGCUUGUUAUGGAGUUUAUUGGGAAGUUUG
rnacentral:sRNA from 1 species